GUACGGGAGGCAGCAGUGGGGAAUUUUGGACAAUGGGGGAAACCCUGAUCCAGCCAUGCCGCGUGGGUGAAGAAGGCCUUCGGGUUGUAAAGCCCUUUCGGUGGGGACGAAACGGUGCGUGCUAACACCACGCACUACUGACGGUACCCACAGAAGAAGCACCGGCUAACUACGUGCCAGCAGCCGCGGUAAUACGUAGGGUGCAGGCGUUAAUCGGAAUUACUGGGCGUAAAGCGUGCGCAGGCGGUUUGCUAAGACAGGUGUGAAAUCCCCGAGCUUAACUUGGGAACUGCGCUUGUAACUGGCAAGCUAGAGUGUGGCAGAGGGGGGUGGAAUUCCACGUGUAGCAGUGAAAUGCGUAGAGAUGUGGAGGAACACCGAUGGCGAAGGCAGCCCCCUGGGCUAACACUGACGCUCAUGCACGAAAGCGUGGGGAGCAAACAGGAUUAGAUACCCCGGUAGU
rnacentral:rRNA from 1 species